rnacentral:pre_miRNA from 1 species
CGGGCUGAGAUCCUCUCCAGUGGAUUUAUCUCAGUUUUUCUCAAGUGGACAUUUGUGGCGGUUUCGAACCGUAAAAAAAUGUUGCCAGAUGCCACAAAUGCUGUCAAUUUUUUGCAGCAGCAUUUUGUGGCGGCUGGAAAAUUUUUGUGGCGUUUCAAAACCGCCACAAAUGUCCACUAAAGAAAAAUUGAAGAGAAAUCUACUGGAGAGGAUCUGGACCCG